GCGGGAGUGGUGGAAUCGGCAGACACGCAGGAUUUAGGUUCCUGUGCCUCACGGCGUGUGGGUUCAAGUCCCACCUUCCGCA
rnacentral:tRNA from 1 species